UACGGAGGGUGCAAGCGUUAUCCGGAUUUACUGGGUUUAAAGGGUGCGCAGGCGGACGAGUAAGUCAGAUGUGAAAGCUCACAGCUUAACUGUGGAAUUGCAUUUGAUACUGCUCGCCUUGAAUUGUGUUGAGGUUAGCGGAAUGAGUCAUGUAGCGGUGAAAUGCAUAGAUAUGACUUAGAACACCAAUUGCGAAGGCAGCUAACUAGGCAUUAAUUGACGCUCAGGCACGAAAGCGUGGGGAGCGAACAGG
rnacentral:rRNA from 1 species